UCUUAAAAAGUAUUGGCGGCAGCCUACACAUGCAAGUCGAGCGGCAGCACGGGUACUUGUACCUGGUGGCGAGCGGCGGACGGGUGAGUAAUGCCUAGGAAUCUGCCUGGUAGUGGGGGAUAACGCUCGGAAACGGACGCUAAUACCGCAUACGUCCUACGGGAGAAAGCAGGGGACCUUCGGGCCUUGCGCUAUCAGAUGAGCCUAGGUCGGAUUAGCUAGUUGGUGAGGUAAUGGCUCACCAAGGCGACGAUCCGUAACUGGUCUGAGAGGAUGAUCAGUCACACUGGAACUGAGACACGGUCCAGACUCCUACGGGAGGCAGCAGUGGGGAAUAUUGGACAAUGGGCGAAAGCCUGAUCCAGCCAUGCCGCGUGUGUGAAGAAGGUCUUCGGAUUGUAAAGCACUUUAAGUUGGGAGGAAGGGCAUUUACCUAAUACGUAAGUGUUUUGACGUUACCGACAGAAUAAGCACCGGCUAACUCUGUGCCAGCAGCCGCGGUAAUACAGAGGGUGCAAGCGUUAAUCGUAAUUACUGGGCGUAAAGCGUGCGUACGUGGUUUGU
rnacentral:rRNA from 1 species